CUGAAAUCUCACUGAACAUUCAGCUCUCUGAACUCUUCAGGGCCUCACUCCAUAAUACCAUGAGAUUUAGAAGAUGCAGAGUCAGAUACAGACUACUCAUUCUCCUGCUAUGCUCAGUUGGAAGUGGAUGGAUCCCAGCACUCACUGACCUGUGCUUUCGAUGACCCAGACAUCAACAGCACCAAUCUGGAACUUGAAAUAUGUAAGGGCUUUGUUGGAGUAGAAUGUAUGAAUUUUAGUAAACUCCAAGAAGAGAAAUAUUUCAUCAAGACAAAGAAAUUCUUAUUGGUUGGUGAAAGCAAGAUAUGUGUGAAGCUUGGAGAAGAGACUCUAGCUUGUAAAACAGUGGAAAUAGCCCACUUAGUUAAACCUGAGGCUCCUUUUGACAUGAAAGUUAUCUAUCGUGAUAGAGCAAAUGACUUUGAAGUGACAUUUAACACAUCACAUUUGCAAAAAAAAUAUGUAAAACAAUUAAUGCAUGAUGUAGCCUACUGCCAAGAAAAAAAUGGAAACAACUGGACGCAUAUGAAUAUAUUCAACACAAGGCUGACACUCCCACUGAGAAAGCUACAAUCUGAUGCAAUGUAUGAGAUUAAAGUUCGAUCCAUUCCUGAUAGUGACUAUUACAAAGGCUUCUGGAGUGAAUGGAGUCCAAGUUCCCACUUCAAAACUCCAGAGGCCAAUAAUGCAGAAGAGAUGAAUCCUGUUUUAUCAACUAUCAGCAUUACCAGCUUUUUCUCUGUGGUUCUGUUGGUCAUCUUAUCCUGUGCAUUAUGGAAAAAAAGGAUUAAGCCUAUUGUAUGGCCAAGUCUGCCUGAUCAUAAGAAAACUCUGGAACAACUGUGUAAGAAACCAGAAAAAAAUUUGAAUGUGAGUUUCAAUCCUGAACAUUUUCUGGACUGCCAGAUUCAUAAGGUUGAUGACAUUCAAUCUAGAGAUGAAGUGGAAAGCUUUCUGCAAGACACUCUUUNNNNNNNNNNNNNNNNNNNNNNNNNNNNNNNNNNNNNNNNNNNNNNNNNNNNNNNNNNNNNNNNNNNNNNNNNNNNNNNNNNNNNNNNNNNNNNNNNNNNNNNNNNNNNNNNNNNNNNNNNNNNNNNNNNNNNNNUCUUUCCCCACAAUUUGAGGAGUCUGAGAAACAGGGAUUUGCAGGGAGUGGGCAAGGACACAACUGGCCAUCUCAGAUUCCAGUUAUCACCUCAGAAGCUUUCAAAGGAGAGUUACCCUUUGGAUGCCCUACUGGAAACGUCAGCGCAUGUAAUGCCUCUAUGCACCCCUCUUUCUGGUCUCCAGACUGCAGGAAGGGUAUCAGGAGUGGCUCUCACAUGUACCAGGGAUUGCUGCUUAGUCCUGGAACUACAGACAGCACUGUGCUCCCACCAUUUCCUCUCCAAUCAGGAAUCCUGACAAUGAACCCAGGUAUUCAGGGACAGCCCAUCCUCACUUCUUUGAAACAAAGUCAGGAAGAAGCUUAUGUCACCAUGUCCAGCUUUUACAAAAACCAGUGAAUUGUAGGAAACCCAAGAUGAUCCCUAUUAUGGCUGAUGAUAAUGGCUGGGAGGUGAAAUUUAGAGUUCCUAUUCACCUUCUAAAUAUGAAGAAGGCAAGAUUAAUGCUACCUAACUACAUAGUCUUCAGGAUUCUGAGACAUUGCUUUGACCUCCUGCUUCAGUUGCCUUCAACAUGAGGCAGAAACAUUCUGCUUCUACCAUGUUAAUUUGGUCAUAUGGUUUCAGGUGACCCAGUGAAUUAACUAUAUAAGGCUUAAAAAGCAAGAAAGAAUAAAAGAAAGAUUGAAAGAAAGGAUAGAGGGAUGAGAAAGGCAAAGAGUGAGGGAAGGAGGAAGGGAAGAAGAGAAUGACAAUUAUUAUCAUUAAGACUUAGUUUAUAUCCACCACUGUGCUGAGUGCACUACAUGUUUUGCUUCAUUUCAUCCUCAUAAUAAUCCUGGUAGAUAGGAUUUAUAAUCAUCAUUAUUAUUCCCUUUUUUAUAGAUGAUGAAAUUGAGACUGAGGGCUUAAGAAAUUUGUCGAUGUUGCCUAUUAAGUGAGGCUUGGGGCCAAGAUCAGAUGCCUAGAGUCUGACUGUAAUCUCCCUGCAGAUGAGCCUUUGUCUUACCUAUAGUCUGCUCCAUUUUUGAGUGUCACUAGUAACAGGAUGGCUAUAUAAUAUAUUAUCCAAACUGGGUCACUUUUGAAAGUGAAAGAGAAAGUUAUAAAUAAUCACUCCAGGGCAACAAGCAUAAACUGGGAUUGUUCCAUGUAAAUGGGAAUACAUGGUUUUGUCAAUUAAAAUUACUGUGAGAAAGGAUGUGGGAUGAGGGGAUAAUUGAACUUUGGGUAUGAAGUACAAUGGCCAGCCAUAUCAAGAAGGGGAAGAAGGCAACAAAGGACCAUCAAGCCAAUUUGAUUUUGGUUUUAUGAAAAUGAUGUCAGGAGGGAAUACUUUAGAAGCCCAGAAUUUCUGUUGCUAGUUAUCAAGACCAGGAUUCUCUUGCUGCUACCCCAAACACAUUUAUCCAGGAUCGCAGAACAUAUCGCUGGCCCUGAACAAUGGGACAUCUGACCAAUAAGCCAUGUCAAGGCACCUCAGCAAUGUCAGCUCACCCUUCUUCCAUGGGCUCCCACUCUGGUUAUACAAAGAAUCCCACAGGGCAGAGGUGACCCAGGGAAGUAAAGAAAGAUGGGUUCUGAACUUUAUUUGGUAUCUGUUGUCGUUUAUGUUUUAAAUUUUCUUCUUUGUUAUUUUCAUUUUGUUUGGAGAGAUUAAGUGACUUUAAUUUUUAAAUAUUUUUGUGUUUGUCUUGUGCUAUCUGUGAACAAGGUUUACAUUGUGGACUAAUGGAUCCUAUCUAUUGGUUUAAGGCCUAGCCAUAACCAGAACAUUUUAUUCUUUGGAUGAAUGUUUUACUUUCCCAAGUGCCUUCCUCUGCAAUAAUAGUAAUGAAUACAAUACUAUAAUUGCUUAGGUUUGCUUGGUAUUAUUUUGAUUUUCAAAGCACUUCUAUAAAUACUGUCAUCUCCUUCAUAAACACAGAAAACCUGCUAUAUGACAACCAUAGAUUGAGAUUUGAGCACAUAUCACUCCACCUCAUAAAAUGCAAAAUCUAUCAAAAAGGAAAACUUGUAAACAAAUUAUUAUAAUGCAAAAUUCUAUAAGGGGGAAUGUUAAAAAUACCCUGUUGAAGACAGAAAACGAUGCCACAAAAAAGUCAUAAAUUUGCAUGAAGGAAAGGUGGAAUCUUCCUGCUAUAUAAAUAGCAAAAGAUAUUUUCCAUCAGAUAGACAGAUUUUUUUUUAAUGUUUUGAGUACAUGGGAGCCACAUCUGAAAGAGGUCACACAAAAUCUCAUGCCUAACCUAGGCCUUUGGUACCAUAUCAUAGGGUUUCUUUAAAGGAUUAAUAGUAUAUUUGGCUUAUGAAAAAGUAGGGACAUAGAGAUGACAGGUUAGUUACUCAAAUUCAUAUGUUAAGUCAGGAUUAGGAACCAUGAUUUUUAUCCCUGAUACACAAUCUCUAAAGAAAAGAGAAAAUAUUUCCAGAGCUCAAGAUCCUUCCUCAGCUCUAGAAUGCCCUGUUUCAGUGUUGCUUGACACUUGUUAUAAUUUCAACUUACUGUGUGUCAUUGGAAGCAUUUUAAAUUCAUGUAUUAUAUUCAUAUAAUUGUAACUGCUGCACAUGCUCGAUUGUAUAUUCAGGAACAAUAGUAAUGUAAGUUUGCUAAUUCAUUCUAUCCAAUACCCCCUUGAAUUUCUUUAAGAAAGAAAAACUUCUAGCCAAAGACAAUAUACAAGUCAGAUAUGUCAACUACCAGUUCCAUGUAGCGUGAAAUAAAGAGACAGUUGAGAAAUAGGCAACUAAUUUGUUCCAACAACCAUCCCUGGCACUAUCAGACCCAAGAUUAUUCAAUUGAUUUUCUGCAAGCCUUUGUCUCCCUCUUCAGUGUGGUUUACAGAGGAAUUUGCUUCAGAAAAUCCAAGUAUGGGCCAAUUCAAAUAUGCAUACUUGUGUUUUCUUAGAACUUGUGGGAUGGUACAGAACUUGGAACUGACCAUGAAGAUGGUGAGAAUAUGUGGUAGAACACCUGGAAAUGAUACAGCUUAGACAGCACUUUUGCCAGUUCUUUGAUUUGGUGGAUUAUCCUUAAAAAUGCUCAUCAUUCACUACAGUGAAGGUGUUUAAUUGUGUACUUUUUAUAUGCAUUACUAACAUUUUGCAGAGCUGCUAAGUAUAUAAGUAGAUGAUAUAUGUUACCAUCUUGUAUUUAAAUAAAUGCUAUUUAAUUAAAUACUAUGGCUGUACUGUCAUUUAUAAAAACUGCAGAUAGAGGAGCUAUCCAGAGUGGACAACAAGUCUUA
rnacentral:lncRNA from 1 species